AGGGAAGUGACAACCCUCAAGUGUCCAAGUUCAGAGGGAGCUCAUGGGUCCCAAGGCAAGGCUCACAAGAGGAAGGCAUAACUUAAGUCUAAGAGAGAGUGCAAGUGAAGAAACAGAGUUCUGAGGGAAUAAAUGAGAGAGAAAGGUGUGCUGGGAAACAACCAUAAACAAGUUGAUAGUUUCAUACAAAAGGGGUUCAGGUUUGGGAAAUUGCAAAGAACCUAUGUACUUAGGCAAGGGUCGACUUUAGGCAUGCAAAACAAUAGAAGAUGAUGGCAUGCCCGUAAGCCCACCAGAACACACAAUACUAGAGAAUACAUAGAGGUUAUGAUCCCAGGGGAAUAAAAUUUGAGUCAUGGAUAACAUUGCUCAAUACUAUCACGCUUCAAACAAACCAUCAAUAUCAAACACAUUGGGGUAGGGGUUUAGGAUACUUAAUACAUAGAUUCAGAAAAGGAAGAAAGAAAUUACAGCAUGCUAGAGCAAAGUACUGAAUUAAACACAAGCAGUAGACAGACUAGAAGGCAAAAGUAUAAGUGAACAUGUUGUUGUGAUGCUAAAAUUUUAAUCAAAACAUACCAGUUCAAAGAAGGAAAGUACAGUGAAGAUAAGGUAGCAGGAUUUUGAAAUAUAGCUUUGGCUUUCAGCCGGCUAAACAGGUCAUAGUAGAAAUAGUAAAGCAGGAGAGAAUGUUUUGAGUAUGAGAGAUUUUUUUUAGAACUAAGCUUGUUCCCCCUCUAUGCUAAUGAAAGAGUGAGGUACUUAUAGUUUGAAAAUAGGUAAAAAAUAAGGCAAGAAUCAUAGUUAGUGGUAAUUAUGGAACUAUGUAUCAAUUAAAAUCAAAUCAGUAAAAGUACUUUCUUUAAUUAAGGAGUUAAAUCAACCAACGUUAAUGGACAGAAAACAAUUAAGGAAAGAAACCAAGUAGAACAUCAUGUACAGAAUUGACAAUUAGGCGUAGGUACAUAGGGGUCCAAUUAAGGAACCAUUUAAUGAAGAAUCAGUAAAAAUACCCGGUAAACCAUUUGCAAAAUAUGGAGACAAUCAGCUCCCAGUAAAUCAAGGUGUCAAGGGUUUGAAAUUACUUAUUUACGGAGAAUCAUACGAGUUCCCAAGAAUAAGCAAAUAAACCAAGUUAAAAAUAGGAAAAUCAAAGUCUAAGGAAGGUUUUCAAAUCAGGCCCAGAAACAAGGAAACUCAGAAUCAAAUAAGAGAGAAUUAUGAGUCCUGUUUUAGCAUAUAAAUUGAGUGCAGAAACAUAAGGCAUGUGAGGCUAAACUAUGGCAAAGAGAAGAAGCAUGCGAAUAUUCACAAAGUCAGUAGAUAGUGAGACAUGGUAGUCACAUAGGUCCACUUAGUAACAGAGAUAAAGGGUAUCAGAAACAUGCAAAGGGUCAAGUAAGAAAGUAUAGUCUAGUUUCAAUGAUUGAAAAAACUCAAAUCACAUAGAGAAACAGGAGUUGAAAUAAAAAGGGCUUUGAAUCCAGUCGAGCAACUUCAAAUAGAUAAAGCAGUUUUUAGAAGCUCGAAUAGGCCCAAAGAAAUUAGGGUUUUGAAAUCCAUCAAAUCUAGAGAUGAUGAACAAGUAAAUCGUACAGCAGAUAGUCUCAGAACUUCAGCGAGCCCAAAAUUUUAGGGGUUUUCAACAUCAAUCGAGUCUAGUGUUAAAAAAUAGGUAAAUCGGACAAAUGCUAAUAUAAAACAUAUUCAGAAAUCUCAAAAAAAACUAAUACUCCUAACAUGCAAACUCCAGUAAAGAACGACAUAAGGAAACACAGUAGAACAUACUGAAAAUCAAAGAAAGCUACGAAAUAGCUUAACAAAAACCAAAACCGAAAAAGAUAAAUGGGUUUCGAAGGUAGAGUUUGAAAGAACCUUGAGAAAAUUGUUUAGAAGUGUCGAGCAAACACAAAUCUGAAACAGACCUAAAAGAAAUCAGAAGAACCUCAAAGGUGAGGGUUUCAGGAGAACCCUCGACGGUGAGAAAGGCUUGGAAGAUCAUCGAUCUAAGCAGGAAAAGUCAAGAAUCAAAUUUGAAUAGCCAUGGCUGGUCGGAGAAAAGUCAAAGAUGACUAGAGACAACCAUAGAACUGAGAUCGACCAAGGUCUGGACCAAGAUUUUCCAAGACUCAACCUUGAAAUCAUAAUAAUCGAGCACGUAGAAGCCAAGGGAGGUAGAUACAGGCCUCCAAUGGCUUUGGAAGCCAUUGGUUUGGGCGGUUUUAGGGUGGUAGUUGGGGGUGGCAGCUAGGGUUUGAGAGAGAAUUGAGAGAGAAAGAGAUUCAUAGGCGGC
rnacentral:lncRNA from 1 species